UUUGCCUAUUCCGCAAAAUUGUCCAAUAACCAUAAUGGGAAAUAGGAUUUAAUAAUCUGUUGGGGAGUCAAAUGUUUUGUUCGAUGUACAUUAUAUACCUAGGCUACUCAUUGAAAAAUGAUAUUUCAAGGGGAAAAAGCACCGUCAACGUUCUUUUUCACGUUUAUUUACUUGCAUCUCAAUCGAGUAGGCCUAUUUUGUGUUUUAUUUGUUACGCAAAACUCUUCAGAGGCAAAUAGACAUCUUUGUCAACACUGUUUGGCGCUGUUGACUGUGUACUGAAUUCGUAUUUAAUUGCCUUCCCUGCGGCUUUUCAUGAAUCAUGACUCAAAUAAUUCAACAUACCUUACACCACGUGCUAUCUUUACCUCAACAAGGCAAAAAGCAUUCCUGACUGGAGAACAAUCGCAAAAAUGAGGCCUACACUAGUGCUCAAUUGGGCGUGUAGUGUAUCUCACUAGCUGUGACAGUGCCACUUUAAUUGGAUUUGAGCUACAAUGAUCUAGAAGGCUUCCACUGAACUUUUCUGUAGCCCAUAUUUUGACGCCAUAUUCAAUUAUCGACGACAAAUAAGCGUUUGUGUGUUGAAAACCUCUCCUCCCGAACACAUACAGUCGCACUGCUGAAUAUAUUACAUCAUGCUCAACCAGCUUCAUUAUGUUUGGUCAUAUUAAGCAGGCUUUAAAAAUAAAAUAAACAUUGCGUAAAUCUUUGCUAAUAAUAAUAAUAAUAAUAAUAAUAAUAAUAAUUGCAAAAUAAAAAUAAGAGUACAAAAUGUUUAGAGCGUCACGCGGAAGUAGAACAACACAAGCUGAGGCCUUUGUGUUGCGAUGCUGUUAACUGAAGCAUUUAUUAAAUCACAUUUACGCAAAACUGAAUUGACCAGUAAAUACAUAAAUAAAAAAGGAAAUAAAAUCGUUGUUUUUAGGAUAGGGUAUUUAAGGUGGCCUACCAAAAGAAAUGGAAAAAUCCUAAAAUGAUCAAGAAAAAAUACAAUAGCAUAUCCACUUUGUAACAUGUAGGACUAUUUGGGGUUAUGCCUCAAUGAGGAAAACAAUAAAUGGUCAAACAUCGUGUAAAUCUUUCAAAACUGAGAAAGAGAUAAUAAUAUAGAACAAAAAUGUCCAUGCGCUGAAUGGGCAGAUAACAUUUUAUAUUCCCCCCCAAUUUUUCAAAACACUGUAUUUCACCUGCCCUACAUUUUUAUUCAAGGGAUCAUUAUCUGGCUGUCAUUUAAUUUAUUUAUUUAUUUUUCAUUUGUAAAAUAUGUCAAACAUGUAAAUGUUCAUUCUAAUUGACAGGUCUAUGUUAACCAUAAUAUUCUGAAUAUUUUCUAAUUCCAGUGUGUUGUAUAACUUUAUUCAACUUCAGCCUCUCAAACCCACAGUGUCUUUGUGAGAGACCAGAGGACUGGAGCUACAAGAAAAAAGACCAUCUGCAACUGCCAGCCAUUUACACUGCCUUUGGAGCUAGAGAGGGACUGUGGAAAAAGGGUGCAAUUGUCCAUAUGAAAGAAAAGAAAAAUAAUAGUCAACCCUCAUCCUUCUCCUACCAGCUCCACUUCCUUCAUCAACGGAAGCAUUUAGUGCCAUCUGUGCCCCCAGAGAAAAGAAAAAAGAAAGUGAGUGAGAGUCUACAUCCAAGUGCCAAUGGGUACAAAGAGGCUGCCAGUUGCCACGGACCACCAGAUGCUGGAAGACUGAAUGAGGGGUGUGCUUUCAGGAAGCCAUCUUGAUGGAGAAACUGGCUGCAGCUCUCUAAAAUGGCUGUGUUGGCAUGAGGCUCAAUGAUCAAACUGUGGGGAAAAAACAUCACUGUCAUCAGCUGCCAGAGAAACCAUGGACAUCUGGCUAUUUUUGAAUCAGAUGUUCAAUCACAGCACCUCAGGAAUCUAGCAUCUCUCCCAUAUGGUUCACUGAGAAAUUUAAAACAAGCAGAUAUUAGAGAUGGAUCUACAACUUGCACUAAUUGAAUUAACUGAGUUUCUUAAACCUUUACGCAAUCAACAGUACCUGAAGGUGGUGAAUGAUUUUGUACAAUGUGUGUGGAUGGGAAGAAAUUCUGACUGUUCUCCCAGUUAAACCUUAGAAGUUCAAGAUAUUCAAACAACGUGUUGUACAAUCAUUGACAAGACUGAACAGAAUAAUGAUGGAAAAUAAUAAUGUGCCUUAAUGUGUGAAAUGUUUACAAUGAAAAUUGCACUUAUUUAAAUAUCUCUCUUGGUAGAUAAUACCACACAAUAUGAAUGACUAAUUUGAGGUCCAUAUUUUAAAUGUAAAUUGAACGUCUCUUUGUCUUAAAUGAAAUGUAUGCACUUUCAUGUUGAAGAUUACAGCCAUUUAAAUAUUUGCCUGUGUCAUUUAGAUCGACAGGAAAUUGUACUUAUACAAUCUGCUUGUAUGUAAAGGUGCUUCCUACUGAUUUUUUGUCAUAGCCUACUUGUUAUUUUGUAUGAUAAUGUGAUGCAUGAAAUAAACCCAUUAAACUGAA